CUGAAUAACCUUCUUCAAAAGUGUCAACGAUUUGUUUUUAUGAGGAGUUUUUCACGUGUUUAUUUGUAAGAAUUCGGGAGGAUGAGGUACGGACAACUGGUGAUGGGCCCAGCAGGCAGUGGCAAGUCCACGUACUGUAGCACGAUGCAGAGGCAAGCAGCUGAUGAGAAUAAAACCGUUCACAUCGUUAAUUUGGAUCCAGCUGCUGAAUUCUUUGAUUAUGAGCCACUAGUUGAUAUCAGAGAAUUAAUUCACGUUGAUGAUGCCAUGGAAGACGAAGAAUUGAAAUUUGGACCCAAUGGGGGUCUGGUUUUCUGUAUGGAAUAUUUAAUCGAAAAUUCAUCGUGGCUGGAGGAGGAACUAGGUGACACUGACGACGACUACAUAAUCUUCGACUGUCCAGGACAGAUAGAACUCUACAGUCACAUGAAAGUCAUCAGCGAUCUCAUAAAAAUCCUCCAGAACCUCAACUUUCGUCUCUGCGGAGUAUUCCUGGUCGACAGCCAAUUCAUGGUCGACGCCUCGAAGUUCUUGUCUGGAACAAUGGCAGCCCUCAGUGUCAUGAUAAACCUCGAGCUCCCCCACAUGAACAUCCUCUCAAAAGUGGAUUUGCUAUCGAAGUCAGCCAAGAAACAACUGGAUAAGUACCUCGAGCCAGAUCCCUACAGCCUCCUAGCAGACCUGGACGACGAUCCCUGGAACGAUAAGUACAGGAAUUUGACGCAAGCCCUGGGGAGGCUCAUCGAGGACUACAGCCUCGUGAGGUUCUAUCCGUUGAAUAUCAAGGACGAAGAGAGUAUUGCUGAUAUUAAGAUAACGAUUGAUAAUAUGAUUCAGUAUGGGGAGGAGGAGGACGUGAGGAUGAGGGACUUUGAUGAACCUGAGGCAGAAGAUGAUUGAUUUAAGGGUUAAUUACACGUUUGAGGAAAUUUAAUGGAAGAGGCUAGCACUUUUCAAGAAUUUCUAUCCAAUUUCUGCUGGAGUUCUGUCGUUAAGAGCCCAGCGCAGAGUCUGCAUCAGCCUUCUGUCUUUUUGCACGCUUCACUUGCUCUUCUUUAUGUCGAUUAAGAUAUUCUUUGAAUGACUCAGCAGCUCUGUCCUCGUCGUUGGCAUCCUCAGGGACUUCUUCAUCCUCGUCUGGACUGGAGUCAUCGCCAGAGGCCUUGAGGUAGACAUCAGCUAUGUCUUGUCCAGUGGAGACUGUCGUUAUCCCUGCGGUUUGGGCCUUGGCUACUGCCACAUUCAACUUCGAUUUUCGUUUUUCAAUCUCUGAGGCUUUCUCUGCUCUCAGUUUCUCCCAGUCU